rnacentral:tRNA from 1 species
GCGGGAAUAGCUCAGUUGGUAGAGCAUAACCUUGCCAAGGUUACUGUCGCGAGUUCGAUCCUCGUUUCCCGCUCCA